UACAGAGGGUGCAAGCGUUGUUCGGAAUUAUUGGGCGUAAAGCGCGUGUAGGCGGCUUUGCAAGUCGGGUGUGAAAGCCCUCAGCUCAACUGAGGAAGUGCGCCCGAAACUGCAGAGCUUGAGUACCGGAGAGGAUGGCGGAAUUCCCCAAGUAGAGGUGAAAUUCGUAGAUAUGGGGAGGGACACCGGUGGCGAAGGCGGCCAUCUGGACGGAUACUGACGCUGAGACGCGAAAGCGUGGGUAGCAAACAGG
rnacentral:rRNA from 1 species